CGGUGGGCCAGUUGCCGCGACCAAUUUUGGCGUGAGGUAUCCAGUAAAGGCCGGAGUGGAGAGGGUACCUCCAGGAAGAGGCCCUACAUCUACACUGCCCAGUUGAGGUUUUUAAAACCGGUUAUGGACUUGAGGCUUACUGUGGACAGUCUGGAACCCUCGGACGAAUCGGAAUCGUCAGGAAGUGAAACUCCGGCAAUGUUUUCGCCGGAAACAAGUCCCGCACCGACGCCGACAGGGGAUCCAGAGGAAUCUUCACAGGCCCAGGCCCCACAACCACUCUCCAGUCCACCCCGGGUCAUACAGCCGCAGCCAAGACAGUCGCCGCCAAGUCCCUCCCUCCACCUCUGUGCCAGAGAGUCGUGAGGUUAUUGACGCACGCGUCAUUGAUUUUCUGGCCCAGAGGCGGAGUGAUGGAGUUGAGGAAAAGAUGCUCAGGGGAUUAGGGCCACUAAUGAAGAAGAUCCCAGAAAAUGAGCAAAAUGAAUGUGUUGCUUCCAUUGCGGUGGUGAUGAAAAUGUGUGCGCUGCCAAAUCAUGGGGACAUUCUAGCCAAAUUAAACGCAUGGAAGAAUGAACUUGAAAAUGCCGGCCAGCCUCCAAGACCUGGACACUUUCCCAUUCCAAGUCAACCAACCCAUGCGCCUUCUUUUGCCCCACACCCCCAGUACGGCCCACCCCAUGGCCAAAUACAAGGGGUGGCUCAGGCCAUUUACCUGGGCAGUUUGCAACCUGUCCCACCACAGAAGGCCUAGGGAAGGCCACGGUCCUCCUUUGCUGCGGGGUCAUUUACCCAGGACCUUCUAGAUCUUUGAUUUGUGUGUUAGCUUAUUGUUUUUAUGUUUUAAAAUUGUUUGGUGCUUAAUGGGCAAAGCAUUGUCCUAACUUACCGUUGGUUUGGCAAAAUAUUUUGCUUAAAAUACUUUCUUGCACCAAAAA